rnacentral:rRNA from 1 species
UACGACGGGGGCUAGCGUUGGUCGGAAUUACUGGGCGUAAAGCGCACGUAGGCGGACUGUCAAGUCAGGGGUGAAAUCCCGGGGCUCAACCUCGGAACUGCCUUUGAUACUGUCAGUCUAGAGUCCGGAAGAGGUGGGUGGAAUUCCUAGUGUAGAGGUGAAAUUCGCCGAUAUUAGGAAGAACACCGGUGGCGAAGGCGGCCCACUGGUCCGGUACUGACUCUGAGGUGCGAAAGCGUGGGUAGCAAACAGG